GACGAACGCUGGCGGCGUGCUUAACACAUGCAAGUCGAACGGAAAGGCCCUGCUUUUGUGGGGUGCUCGAGUGGCGAACGGGUGAGUAACACGUGAGUAACCUGCCCUUGACUUUGGGAUAACUUCAGGAAACUGGGGCUAAUACCGGAUAGGAGCUCCUGCUGCAUGGUGGGGGUUGGAAAGUUUCGGCGGUUGGGGAUGGACUCGCGGCUUAUCAGCUUGUUGGUGGGGUAGUGGCUUACCAAGGCUUUGACGGGUAGCCGGCCUGAGAGGGUGACCGGCCACAUUGGGACUGAGAUACGGCACAGACUCCUACGGGAGGCAGCAGUGGGGAAUAUUGAACAAUGGGCGGAAGCCUGAUGCAGCAACGCCGCGUGCGGGAUGACGGCCUUCGGGUUGUAAACCGCUUUCGCCUGUGACGAAGCGUGAGUGACGGUAAUGGGUAAAGAAGCACCGGCUAACUACGUG
rnacentral:rRNA from 1 species